rnacentral:rRNA from 1 species
AUGAACGCUAGCUACAGGCUUAACACAUGCAAGUCGAGGGGCAGCAUGGUCUUAGCUUGCUAAGGCCGAUGGCGACCGGCGCACGGGUGAGUAACACGUAUCCAACCUGCCGUCUACUCUUGGACAGCCUUCUGAAAGGAAGAUUAAUACAAGAUGGCAUCAUGAGUCCACAUGUUCACAUGAUUAAAGGUAUUCCGGUAGACGAUGGGGAUGCGUUCCAUUAGAUAGUAGGCGGGGUAACGGCCCACCUAGUCUUCGAUGGAUAGGGGUUCUGAGAGGAAGGUCCCCCACAUUGGAACUGAGACACGGUCCAAACUCCUACGGGAGGCAGCAGUGAGGAAUAUUGGUCAAUGGGCGAGAGCCUGAACCAGCCAAGUAGCGUGAAGGAUGACUGCCCUAUGGGUUGUAAACUUCUUUUAUAAAGGAAUAAAGUCGGGUAUGGAUACCCGUUUGCAUGUACUUUAUGAAUAAGGAUCGGCUAACUCCGUGCCAGCAGCCGCGGUAAUACGGAGGAUCCGAGCGUUAUCCGGAUUUAUUGGGUUUAAAGGGAGCGUAGAUGGAUGUUUAAGUCAGUUGUGAAAGUUUGCGGCUCAACCGUAAAAUUGCAGUUGAUACUGGAUAUCUUGAGUGCAGUUGAGGCAGGCGGAAUUCGUGGUGUAGCGGUGAAAUGCUUAGAUAUCACGAAGAACUCCGAUUGCGAAGGCAGCCUGCUAAGCUGCAACUGACAUUGAGGCUCGAAAGUGUGGGUAUCAAACAGGAUUAGAUACCCUGGUAGUCCACACGGUAAACGAUGAAUACUCGCUGUUUGCGAUAUACAGCAAGCGGCCAAGCGAAAGCGUUAAGUAUUCCACCUGGGGAGUACGCCGGCAACGGUGAAACUCAAAGGAAUUGACGGGGGCCCGCACAAGCGGAGGAACAUGUGGUUUAAUUCGAUGAUACGCGAGGAACCUUACCCGGGCUUAAAUUGCAGAUGAAUUACGGUGAAAGCCGUAAGCCGCAAGGCAUCUGUGAAGGUGCUGCAUGGUUGUCGUCAGCUCGUGCCGUGAGGUGUCGGCUUAAGUGCCAUAACGAGCGCAACCCUUGUUGUCAGUUACUAACAGGUUCCGCUGGGGACUCUGACAAGACUGCCAUCGUAAGAUGUGAGGAAGGUGGGGAUGACGUCAAAUCAGCACGGCCCUUACGUCCGGGGCUACACACGUGUUACAAUGGGGGGUACAGAGGGCCGCUACCACGCGAGUGGAUGCCAAUCCCAAAAACCUCUCUCAGUUCGGACUGGAGUCUGCAACCCGACUCCACGAAGCUGGAUUCGCUAGUAAUCGCGCAUCAGCCACGGCGCGGUGAAUACGUUCCCGGGCCUUGUACACACCGCCCGUCAAGCCAUGGGAGCCGGGGGUACCUGAAGUGCGUAACCGCGAGGAGCGCCCUAGGGUAAAACUGGUGACUGGGGCU